CCACUUCCCACCACGAGAUGUUUGUCCCCAUCUGUAUCACAGCAAGCAACCUGAGAACCUGGGGUUGCUUUCAGAAAGAGGAUUAAGGAAGGCAAAAGUGUUUCUUUUGGACAGAUAAAAGAUCACAAAAGAAGGCAGAUCAGAUGCAUGAGGUGAAGAUAAGGUCAUUCUCACUGGAGCACAAGAGCCCGCGUGUUGCGCCUUCUCUCAGAAGAAGGAAGGACACAACUAUUUUCCGACCAUUUAUUUCCAGUCUUGAUGAGGAGCAAGCAGCAAGGUGGGGCAACUUGAGUGAAAUGACUUCUCAGAACCGAGUCCGCAAUUUUAAGACUUGGGACUUGCAUGUCUUAAAGUGAUGGAAGACUCGACUCAUCUGACUUUGGUAUUUAAAACUUUUAUAAGGAUGGAAACAAUAUUUUAUCACUCCAGUAAAAACGGCGACUGGCUUGGCCUGUUCAACCAAGUAAUGACUUGACUCGCUUGAAAUUUUUGGGCGCACUCGAGGAGAUUGAUCGUUUUUCACAAUAACUUGUGGGAUUUGCUUAAAACUUGACGGUCACAAUCUGAGAAUGAUUUGCAACACGUGACCGACUCCCCACCUUUCAUUGAAACAUCCAUCCAUCCACCAGCCCAACAACUCAUCUAUCCAUGCUUCGAACUUUUAAGGAGAAAUGUGUGUUAACGUGUGACAACCACAAAUAAAUGGAAGAGAAAAUCCCAAGCAAGA